AGCAUGUUAGCUCAGGGGAAGAGCGCCGGGCUCAUAACCCGGAGGUACGUUUUCACCUCACCAACCAAUCAUAAUCCGAUUCCUAACAAACAAUAGGUCCCUGGAUCGAAACCAGGACAUGCUA
rnacentral:tRNA from 1 species